AUGAAUGGCUUUUGAUGCACAGACGUGGCCUGACUAACUUCAAGUAAAUUCUAAUCAAUCAUGCAAUCCAUGGAUGGCUUUGAUAAAUAUGCUAUUAGUCAGUCGCAUUCGUAACACGUGCACUGCACACACAAUUAAUACAUACAUUAUCAGGAUUUUGAUGAAAUGUAUCAAAGUUUUUCCAAGUUUGGCGAGCACCAUUAUUAUUUUUUCGUGUCAGAUCCUGACAACCAAGCAGAUACACAGGUUCUUCAUGUUCAUCUUCUUCUUCCUCCUUGCUAUGAUCCCACCAGGUAUAAGCUAGCACACGUGUACCUGCCCAUGAAGUUGUAUGAUGCUUCCUAUCAACGUUACUCGGCGUGUGUGAAAUCAUUUUGUCCUGAUGAACGCGGUUUUCAGAAAACAUACUGGUGAUUUUGGAUGCCAGCUUGCCCUUCUACCCGACCAUGAAGGUCCACCAAGAAUCCCUUCAUUUUGACCCAAUCUAAGCCACUGACUUAAAUUCACGGGCAAUCUCGUUGCCAAGUUCCUUCUAUUGAGAUCUCUCGUGUAUCUAAAUUAUUUUGAGUUGAUGUCAUAACAAACAUUGUAACCCCAUAUUAUAUAAGUGUGAAAAUACAGAGGGUACAUGACAAUUAUUUAACGAUAAGUGUAAUAUACUUGUAAUGAAAAAUCGAGUGGUUGCCUAUUGCAAAUAUGUAUGUGUGUGUGUGUAUAAGCUAGCAGAUCCAAUAAGAAGCAUUACAAAAUUUAAUGCAGAAACAGAUUUCAAGCUUAAGGUGUCAUAUGUUUCACAAGAGAGGAGCAGAGGUGGUUGGGUUAGGUUAUUGAGUGAGUCUUUAGGGUUCAGAACACUAGGUUUGGUUGGUGCAAACAUUAACAGAGGUACAUGAAUUAGAGGUUCAAUUUCAAUAUGCAGCAAUUUAAUUAUUAUUAUAUUUUCCUCUAUAAAACUAAUUAAGGUGGACCCUUUAGAGAAAAGGUGGUCCUAGUUAGCCAGA
rnacentral:lncRNA from 1 species